rnacentral:lncRNA from 1 species
CCUCGCUCUCUCUCUCCUCUCUCCCUCCUCUCUCUCUCUCUCUCCUCCUCUCUCUCUCCUCUCUCCUCCCUCUCCUCUCUCUCUCCCUCGCUCUCUCUCUCCUCUCUCCUCCUCCUCUCUCCUCCUCCUCUCUCCUCUCUCUCUCCCUCUCUCUCGCUCUCUCUCCUCUCUCUCCUCACCUCUCUCUCCUCUCUCUCCCUCCCUCCAUAGAAAUGCUGGGCCGGGUUGAAGGCACAUGUUCAUAUCUCAGAAUCUCCCUGCCCUCUUUUCCACAGACGCCUGCUUCACAUGGUGAGGCAGGACAGAGGGAGAGAGGGAGGACAGAGAGGGAGAGGGGCAGGACAGAGAUGGAAAGAGGCAGGACAGGGAGAGAGAGAGGCAGGACGGGGAGAGAGAGAGAGAGGCAGAGAGGCAGGACAGAGAAGGAGAGAGCAGGACAGAGAGGGGAGAGAGAGGACAGGGGGAGAGAGGACAGAGAGGAGAGAGGCAGGAUAGAGAGGGGAGAGAGAGGACAGAGAGGGGAGAGAGAGGACAGAGAGCGAGGGGAGAGAGAGGACAGAGAGGAGAGAGGCAGGAUAGAGAGGGGAGAGAGAGGACAGAGAGGGAGA